rnacentral:lncRNA from 1 species
GUCAGAGCUACUCUAGUCGCACCCACUCAGUCGUGAACUGGAGCAGCAGCCAGAGAGAGAGUAAGACAAUGGUGAAUGAGAAGAGGCCAGGUGACAGGAACCUGCAAGCUCAUCCAUCCACAAACAUCCACUGAGCACCUGCCACGGGCUGGGCCCCGUGCAUUCAACAACAAUCUUCAAUGUGUCUUCAUUUGUUUGCAACCGCUGAACACAGCUAUCUGAUAUCACUGUGGCCUGGGACUCUCAGCUUCCAGCAAGUGGGAGCCCCACCUGGCUCAUCCACUUCAAAAGAGGAUUGCAUGCUAAUGAAUUAAUACAUACAAGAAAGUGUUGCAAACUCUACAAUCCUAUAUAAAUCUUAAGAAGAUUAGAAGUUUACCAAAUGCUCUGUAAUGCAUUUUGAAGGGCUAUCCCUUAAAAGAAACUGGAAAUCAGCAAGACAAGCUUUUCCUUCUUUUAGUGUCUUUAUUUAGCCUGUACGUACUACUUGCACACAUUAGUUUCACAGUUAAUUUUACCGCCUUAAAAACAGGACUCAGAUCAAAACCUAAACAUGAGAACUCAGCCACUGACAGUGAUUUUCCUGGUGGCUCCCGGAAGUCAUUGCUCUCAGAGCUUCCAUUUCCCCCUCCCAUUAAGCAAAGGAAAUAGGAGGGGAAGACAGCAAUUCCACAAGGUCUUUGUGCACUUUGAAACUUUCGUAGCUUCAGUUGUUGGUGUGACAAAAGCAAUCUGUGGGCAGAAUCCAGAAGCAAGUAUAUGAACAUUUGGGGAAGGGUGUUGCUUAGUGGGUCACGUUGUCUCCUGCCAAAUUCUGUGACAACCCUAAAGUGCGAGAAGGGUUCCGAGGGGAGCCGAAUGCUGCAGUCAAGCUUCAUAUCCGCCAAGACAAAGGGAUUUAAUCUGCUUGGGGACGCUUCUGCUUGCUGAUUUUAUAUACUAACUAAGUCAUCUGAG